UGAGACACGGCCCAGACUCCUACGGGAGGCAGCAGUGGGGAAUAUUGGACAAUGGGCGGAAGCCUGAUCCAGCCAUGCCGCGUGUGUGAAGAAGGCCUUUUGGUUGUAAAGCACUUUAAGCGAGGAGGAGGAUUCCUACCUGGAUUAAUACUCUAGGAUAGUGGACGUUACUCGCAGAAUAAGCACCGGCUAACUCUGUGCCAGCAGCCGCGGUAAUACAGAGGGUGCGAGCGUUAAUCGGAUUUACUGGGCGUAAAGCGUGCGUAGGCGGCUUUUGUUAAGUCGGAUGUGAAAUCCCCGAGCUUAACUUGGGAAUUGCAUUCGAUACUGGGAAGCUAGAGUAUGGGAGAGGAUGGUAGAAUUCCAGGUGUAGCGGUGAAAUGCGUAGAGAUCUGGAGGAAUACCGAUGGCGAAGGCGCAGCCAUCUGGCCUAAUACUGACGCUGAGGUACGAAAGCAUGGGGAGCAAACAGGAUUAGAUACCCUGGUAUUAGUCCAUGCCGUAAAC
rnacentral:rRNA from 1 species